GACGAACGCUGGCGGCGUGCUUAACACAUGCAAGUCGAACGAUGAAGCCUAGCUUGCUAGGUGGAUUAGUGGCGAACGGGUGAGUAAUACGUGAGUAACCUACCUUUAACUCUGGGAUAAGCCUGGGAAACUGGGUCUAAUACCGGAUACGACCAAUCUCCGCAUGGGGUGUUGGUGGAAAGCGUUAUGUAGUGGUUAUAGAUGGGCUCACGGCCUAUCAGCUUGUUGGUGAGGUAACGGCUCACCAAGGCGACGACGGGUAGCCGGCCUGAGAGGGUGACCGGCCACACUGGGACUGAGACACGGCCCAGACUCCUACGGGAGGCAGCAGUGGGGAAUAUUGCACAAUGGGCGCAAGCCUGAUGCAGCGACGCCGCGUGAGGGAUGACGGCCUUCGGGUUGUAAACCUCUGUUAGCAGGGAAGAAGAGAGAUUGACGGUACCUGCAGAGAAAGCGCCGGCUAACUACGUGCCAGCAGCCGCGGUAAUACGUAGGGCGCGAGCGUUGUCCGGAAUUAUUGGGCGUAAAGAGCUUGUAGGCGGUUUGUCGCGUCUGCUGUGAAAGGCCGGAGCUUAACUCCGUGUAUUGCAGUGGGUACCGGGCAGACUAGAGUGCAGUAGGGGAGACUGGAAUUCCUGGUGUAGCGGUGGAAUGCGCAGAUAUCAGGAGGAACACCGAUGGCGAAGGCAGGUCUCUGGGCUGUAACUGACGCUGAGAAGCGAAAGCAUGGGGAGCGAACAGGAUUAGAUACCUUGGUAGUCCAUGCCGUAAACGUUGGGCACUAGGUGUGGGGAACAUUCCACGUUUUCCGCGCCGUAGCUAACGCAUUAAGUGCCCCGCCUGGGGAGUACGGCCGCAAGGCUAAAACUCAAAGAAAUUGACGGGGGCCCGCACAAGCGGCGGAGCAUGCGGAUUAAUUCGAUGCAACGCGAAGAACCUUACCAAGGCUUGACAUAUACUGGACCGCAUCAGAGAUGGUGUUUCCCUUCGGGGCUGGUAUACAGGUGGUGCAUGGUUGUCGUCAGCUCGUGUCGUGAGAUGUUGGGUUAAGUCCCGCAACGAGCGCAACCCUCGUUCUAUGUUGCCAGCACGUUAUGGUGGGGACUCAUAGGAGACUGCCGGGGUCAACUCGGAGGAAGGUGGGGAUGACGUCAAAUCAUCAUGCCCCUUAUGUCUUGGGCUUCACGCAUGCUACAAUGGCCGGUACAGAGGGUUGCGAUACUGUGAGGUGGAGCUAAUCCCUAAAAGCCGGUCUCAGUUCGGAUUGGGGUCUGCAACUCGACCCCAUGAAGUCGGAGUCGCUAGUAAUCGCAGAUCAGCAACGCUGCGGUGAAUACGUUCCCGGGCCU
rnacentral:rRNA from 1 species